GAGUAUUUGAAGUAUCUAGAAAAUAAAUUUUGCGAUUUUUCGAUAUCAUUUGCCUAGUGAUCGAAGGGGCUCAAAAUCAACGGCUGAAAAUAAAAAUCUUACAAAAUAUGAUGAUAUGACAUUCAAAUUUUAGAUCAAAGUUUUUUAUCUUGUUUUAUAUGGUAUAACAAAUUUUCUAUCAAUAUUUCACGUGAUUUGAAUAUUUCUACACCGUUGAACUUGCAACCGGCUCACCACGGCCGUUAAAAUUAUUGAUUUUGAGCCCCUUCGAUUACUAGGCAAAUGAUAUCGAAAAAUCGCAAAAUUUAUUUUCUAGGUACUUCAAAUACUCUAGAUCAAGUCUAACGGAGUCGAUCGUCGAUUCGAAAGUCCCAACAUCGAAAACAAUUUGGAAGCACGGAGGCCUCCGUGCUUUCAUAAGCAUACUAGCUGCACACUAUAUAUAUAUAUAUAUAGUGUAGAGCUAUUAUGCUAUCGGAAGCAUAGAGGAUCUGAUGCUUCAAACUUUUUGACCAUUGGAUUAAAAAUUAUACGGUUGUGAUGAUUACGGUCUCUCCAGGGUUGAAUAGUACCUCUAGGGUUGAGUGGUCUCCACAAGAUAAUAGUAUUAAUCCAAAGGUUAGAAAUAAUUAAAGAUGUUGAUCUAAGAGCCAAAAAAUUGGAAGCACCAGAUACUCUAUGCUUCCGAUAGCAUUGUAACUCUACCAUAUAUAUAUAUAUAGAAUUGAGCUAGAAUACUUUUAGAAGUAUCAUUCCCUUGGUGCUUCUAAAUUUCUAGCCCUUGGAUCUACUCCUUAAUUACUAAUAUCCAUUGGAUCAAAUACUAUUCCACCUGCCAUCACCUACCACCAUCAUCUCAACCCUACAUCUCUUCAUCCAAUGGUUAAAAACUCAAAAGCAUCCCCCUUGGUGCUUUUGAGAGUAUUCUAGCUCAACUCUCUCUCUAUAUAUAUAUCUUAAUCUUAAAUUAUAAAAAAUUUAAUU
rnacentral:lncRNA from 1 species